rnacentral:tRNA from 1 species
UAGCUCAGUCGGUAAAGAAUCUGCCUGCAAUGCAGAAGACCCAGGUUCGAUUCCUGG